rnacentral:misc_RNA from 1 species
GAAAUGCGAUAACUAGUGUGAAUUGCAGAAUUCCGUGAAUCAUCGAGUCUUUGAACGCACAUUGCGCCCCCUGGUAUUCCGGGGGGCAUGCCUGUCCGAGCGUCAUUGCUGCCCAUCAAGCACGGCUUGUGUGUUGGGUCGUCGUCCCCUCUCCGGGGGGGACGGGCCCCAAAGGCAGCGGCGGCACCGCGUCCGAUCCUCGAGCGUAUGGGGCUUUGUCACCCGCUCUGUAGGCCCGGCCGGCACUUGCCGAACGCAAAUCAAUCUUUUUCCAGGUUGACCUCGGAUCAGGUAGGGAUACCCGCUGAACUUAAGC